rnacentral:rRNA from 1 species
GGUGAACGCUGGCGGCGUGCCUAAUACAUGCAAGUCGAGCGAACGGACGAGAAGCUUGCUUCUCUGAUGUUAGCGGCGGACGGGUGAGUAACACGUGGAUAACCUACCUAUAAGACUGGGAUAACUUCGGGAAACCGGAGCUAAUACCGGAUAAUAUUUUGAACCGCAUGGUUCAAAAGUGAAAGACGGUCUUGCUGUCACUUAUAGAUGGAUCCGCGCUGCAUUAGCUAGUUGGUAAGGUAACGGCUUACCAAGGCAACGAUGCAUAGCCGACCUGAGAGGGUGAUCGGCCACACUGGAACUGAGACACGGUCCAGACUCCUAAGGGAGGCAGCAGUAGGGAAUCUUCCGCAAUGGGCGAAAGCCUGACGGAGCAACGCCGCGUGAGUGAUGAAGGUCUUCGGAUCGUAAAACUCUGUUAUUAGGGAAGAACAUAUGUGUAAGUAACUGUGCACAUCUUGACGGUACCUAAUCAGAAAGCCACGGCUAACUACGUG